rnacentral:rRNA from 1 species
AUACGUAGGUGGCAAGCGUUGUCCGGAAUGAUUGGGCGUAAAGGGCGCGUAGGCGGCCCGGUAAGUCUGGAGUGAAAGUCCUGUUUUUAAGAUGGGAAUUGCUUUGGAUACUGUCGGGCUUGAGUGCAGGAGAGGUAAGUGGAAUUCCCAGUGUAGCGGUGAAAUGCGUAGAGAUUGGGAGGAACACCAGUGGCGAAGGCGACUUACUGGACUGUAACUGACGCGGAGGCGCGAAAGUGUGGGGAGCAAACAGGAUUAGAUACCCUGGUAGUCCACACCGUAAACGAUGAAUGCUAGGUGUAAGAGGUAUCGACCCCUUUUGUGCCGGAGUCAACACAAUAAGCAUUCCGCCUGGGGAGUACGGCCGCAAGGUUGAAACUCAAAUGAAUUGACGGGG